UGUGAAAGUCUAACCGGACGUUGCGUAGUUAUUGUUGCUAACUUGACAGCGGAGCACUAAAACGUCCAAAAACAUGACCCAGGGCGUUAAAAAGCAACUCUAAGGGGAGUCGGGAGUGAGAAUGUGUUGUAAAAAGCGGAUUUCUGGACGUUUCUGCUGGAUUGACAUCAGAGGUGUAUUUGGUGUAGAGCCCCGCCCCCUUCCCACCUGACCGGGCAUCACAUCACUUCCUGUGAGGAAGUGCAGCAGGUGUUGAGGAGCUGCAUGAGGGAGAAACCAAAGAGCAAUCUGGGCCUCCAUGACAGCAGAUCUGAAAGCUGCUAUACAAACCGGUCGUCCUGCCUCACCUGACGGGUUCACGCGUCUCAGAAUAUCAGUGAAUGUUUGGUUUGGAGAGCUGAGGAGAAAAAGAGAAUCUCUGCUGUCGUCACUUCCAUCAUCACUUCUCACUUUGCACGUCUCUGGUAACAGAGAGCAGAUGUUCAGCAACCUGCGCUGCAGCGUUUGUGGACCGUUUGGAGGAGGCAGCGUCAGUCUGAUGAAAUCUGCUGCAAACUAGUGUUUGUUCUUCCGGACAGGUUUUACUUCAGGUACCAACAUUGUGAAGGCCAGAGACUCGGCUCCACACAGGCAGGCGCUUGUUCCGGGGAGCAAACGGCAGGAAAAGUUCACUAUCAUCUUACAUUUCAAUUAGUUCCUAAAACGUGGAAACACUUAACAACCGAUCCCCCUGAAGACCUGAGCGCUUUGAGUUCAGAGCCUUUACAGUUUGCAUGCCGGUCUUUAGAGAGGCGGGGGUGUUUCCCUCAGGGGCUUUCACACAAACAUGUUGGCUUCCAUUAACACGAAC